rnacentral:rRNA from 1 species
UACGUAGGGGGCAAGCGUUGUCCGGAAUUACUGGGCGUAAAGCGCACGUAGGCGGAUCGAUCAGUCAGGGGUGAAAUCCCAGGGCUCAACCCUGGAACUGCCUUUGAUACUGUCGAUCUGGAGUAUGGAAGGAGGUGAGUGAAUUCCUAGUGUAGAGGUGAAAUUCGUAGAUAUCAGUCGGAACACCGGUGGCGAAGGCGGCUUCUUGGGCCUGGACUGACGCUGAGGCGCGAAAGCUGGGGGAGCGAACGGG